rnacentral:misc_RNA from 1 species
GAAAUGCGAUAAUUAAUGUGAAUUGCAGAAUUCAGUGAAUCAUCGAGUCUUUGAACGCACAUUGCGCCCCCUGGUAUUCCGGGGGGCAUGCCUGUCCGAGCGUCAUUGCUGCCCUCAAGCACGGCUUGUGUGUUGGGCUUCCGUCCCUGGCAACGGUGACGGGCCCAAAAGGCAGUGGCGGCACCAUGUCUGGUCCUCGAGCGUAUGGGGCUUUGUCACCCGCUCCCGUAGGUCCAGCUGGCAGCUAGCCUCGCAACCAAUCUUUUUAACCAGGUUGACCUCGGAUCAGGUAGGGAUACCCGCUGAACUUAAGC